GAUGAACGCUGGCGGCGUGCUUAACACAUGCAAGUCGAACGGAAAGGCCCAAGCUUGCUUGGGUACUCGAGUGGCGAACGGGUGAGUAACACGUGGGUGACCUGCCCUGCACUUCGGGAUAAGCCUGGGAAACUGGGUCUAAUACCGGAUAGGACGAUGGGCUGCAUGCCAUGGUGGAGAGUGUUUUGGGUGUGGGAUGAGGUCGCGGCGUAUCAGCGUGUGGGUGUGGUGUUGGCGUACCAAAGCGUCGAGGGGUAGCCGCCGUGAGAGGGUGUACGGCGACACAUGGAGUCUGAGACAGGCCAGAGUCCUACAGGGGGGAGAAGGGGGGAAUAUCGGACAAAGGGGGCAAGCGUGAGGCAGCGACGCCGCGUGGGGGAUGACGGCGUUCGGGUGGUACAAACCUAUUGCUAGGGACAAAGAGGGUUUGUGACGGUACCGGGAGAAGAAGCACCGGCUAACUACGUG
rnacentral:rRNA from 1 species